GAGGUAGCGAGUGUGUGUCCGCUUCUGUCAGGCCCAUGGCCGCGGCCCAGGUCUGUGGCUGGGGCUCCCUCCAGCACUCGGUUCCUAGGCGUCCACAGGAGCUUGGUUGAGCGUGGCUCACACACCGCGCAGUUCACCUGUCUCAGGUGUUGCUCCCAGGGCUUGGGCACAGGCGCAGCCCCAGGCGGCUGCCUCUCACCUCGGGAGCAGGGGCCUCAGCCCGACGAGGCGCCCAGGCCCUGGAGCCCCGAGGGCCGCCGAUCCACACGCUCUCCACAGAGGAAGCUCAUCAAACAGUCCCGCAACACCUCACCCUGCUUUCGGGGCCACUAACCCAGCUCACACCGUGGAAUCGUCCCCCGUAAGGCUCUUAGGGAUGAGAGGAAGGAGGCCAGGCAGCGCCAUCGGCUGUGCUCAUCUGUCAGGAAGCAAGAGUCUCCUGGCGGGGGGAUGUCCACAAGAUAAGGUUUGAAAUCUUAAAGGAAAACACAGCAAGAAGCGUGAGGAAGACAAAGAGACUCCAGAAAGCAAACCCACAAAAGGUUCCAGUAAUGGGAACUGGAGCCCCUGCUUCAGGGGAAGGCUCCCAGCCUUCUCUCAGACCAGGAGCUCGGGGGGACAUGACGAUCCCCAAACUUCCUGUCUUAACAAAGCCCACUGCCGCUCCCUGUGUCACUACUCCCUGCAUGGCUGGGAGCCUUCCCCUGAAGCAGAGGAAGACACCUGGCCAUGUUAAGGAGGAGACACCGUGUUGGCAGCAGUGUGGCCAGGGUCGCGGUCCAUAAGGCUCCGAGAGCUUAUGAGGGGGACCAGGCCGCCGGCUGGAGAAACAGCACCUGUUCUCAACCACUUUGCUGAGCUGCUGGAUGGUGUCAGGACGUGCUGGCCUGUGUCAGCUCCGGGAGACGUCACUGUCCUGAUGUGUCCCCUCUGAACGACUGGGACAUCCUCAAGCCCAUCACAUACGGAAGCUUCCUCAGAGCUAAGGUCACCCCUAGGGCAUGGAGCAGGGCUCGAGGUGUCACACUCCAAAGAUGAAGGAAGCCCAGUUACUCAGUGGAGCCAUGUCCUUCCAGAGCAAACUCACACGCUGACACAGGAUGCUCGGGGACGGAGUGCCAGUGCAGCUGGCCAGGCCUGGUGGCUCUUGGCUGGCAUGAAGAUCCAGCCCCAGAUGCCCUGCACCGAAAACCAAGGCAACGCAUGAGCAGUGUGAGAUGAGGCCACAGUGGUGAUGCCAAGCUCUUUCUAGUUUAUAGGACUGCAAACACUUCAUGGCUUAUCAUUGAGGAACAUUCCAGAAUUUCUUCACCAAGGUCAAUGUCACGGAGCAGCACAGCUUAGGAAACCUCAGAGUCCAUGUCUGCCACCCCAGCUCCACCCCCAUCGCCCCGUCCUCCUGCUGAGGGAGCAGCGACAGUCGGCGUCACUCACUCCACUCACUCCCUUCUUCAGACAGCGAGGUGUCCCAAGCCGAGUGGCACAGGCUGUUCUGUGUGGGUUCAAACCAUUGCUUUGCACUCAAGCCAACCCUGAACACCGUCCCAUGUGAUUGUAUCCCCAGCAUGUGGCAGUCAGUGGGAGACCCAGGCCCUGCCUCUAGAGUUUCAGUCAGUGGGGUCUGGGUCCCUCAGCAGUUCCUGGAACCUUCCAGAAUGGGCAACUUAACCAUCUUCCCCUGUGUCAGGCAGCACCGCCACAGGGCCACUAUGGAACAUGUCUUCUG